rnacentral:tRNA from 1 species
GCGCUGUUGCUGUAAUCCUGCCCUGAAAGCAGAGGGUGCAGGUACAAAUCCUGCAUAGCGCG